rnacentral:lncRNA from 1 species
UAACGACUAUAACAACGUCGUUCGCUUUUAUAAUUCUCUCACCGUCCCAUCUUAUUUACACCAAAAACGAUGUCGUAUUUGGCAAGCGAAUGACUAAGGUUAAUUAUGUAAUUGUAGAGUUCAACAAAGGUAGAAGCGAAAGGGGCUCGAGUCGAGUGAGAGAGCUCCAAUGAGAUUGGCAUGUGUGAGUUCACAAAGUCGCUGAAUCUCGUCUCGAUUCCUGGACCAGGUACUCUUUCAAGUGACCUUGUAAAGUUUUGGUUAUCGCUGGAUCAUAGGAUUUUUGGAGCUAGGGGCUGAUAAUUCCGAUUCCAGAAAUGCUAUAAUCGUCUUGAAGCUUAUUCUUUGAAGAUUUUGAUAAUGCUCUUGUGGUAUAGUAAAUUUCUGUAUGAAUCAAUUUGAUAAAUUUUAAUCUACUUUGAAUUGCUAAGACAAAUCACAUCUCACUUUCCCUUUUCUCAGAUAUUGUUCAACCACAUGAUUUUGUUUUUAUGAUGUUGCUGUUUAUGUUUGUAUUAUAUGUGCAGUUGACAGAGGUUAAUCUAAUUGAGCUACUUCAAAACGAUUUGGCCUCACAUCUGUUUGCUGCUUAUCAAGUUUACAAGAAUACACAUAUAUCUAGUACCUAAUAAUGCAGUAAUUGGCUUUGUCGUUUUUGAUAUAAUUGGUUAGUUGCUUGAAGCCUUGAACAUCUAGAGUUUCUGGUCAGCUCCAUUGAGUCUGAGCAUGUUUUUUAUUAGCCAAUAUUAGUAAUCACGCUCUAAUGAUCACAUGAGCUAUUUCAGAACUUAGUUUCUGCAAUAUGUGUGUAAGACUGUUUCUGGGUGGUAAGUAUAUUGUGAAGUGGUCUGCUCUGCACCUUUUAAUCCCUUUUCAUCAAAUGUUUGAAUGUGGUUUUUGCGAUAUAUAAGACUGUCUCUGGUUGGUAUCAUCAAGUGCUCUGCUCUGCACCUUUUAAGCCCUUUUCAUCAAAUGUUUGAACUUGGUUUUUGCGAUAUAUAAGACUAUCUCUAGUUGGUAUCAUCAAGUGCUCUGCUCUGCACCUUUUAAGCCCUUUUCAUCAAAUGUUUGAACUUGGUUUUUGAGAUAUAUAAGACUGUCUCUGGUUGGUAUCAUCAAGUGCUUUGUCUGCACCUUCAAGCUCUUUUUUUGUUUGUUUAUCAAUUGCUUUAUUCUGUGGCUAAUUCAUCUGUUUGAUCUUUUGGUGUCUAGUUAUGAACUCAGCAUUCAAGGACUUGGCUCAUUUCGUUGCUGGAGGCGUUGGAUUUGUGGUUUUUCAAGAGAAUGACACGAGUUUUGCAGAAUUUACAUUCUCGGUAACUAUCUUUUUUGAACUCAUACAUAUUUGUAUGCUUAAAGUUUUUAACAUUAUCCAAUACACAUAUAUAUAUAUGCUUAUAUCACUAACUAUAAGGUUCUUAAAGAUCAAUUAUUUCCUGAAAGAGUAGAACACAGUGAAGAUAUAAACACUGAGAGCAGAAGAGACCAAAACCACAAGCGCCAAGACAGUAUGAAUUGCCAAAGCACUGCCGCAAGAGAGUAGCCCGAUAC